rnacentral:rRNA from 1 species
AAUCAACGCUGGCGGCGUGCCUCAGACAUGCAAGUCGAACGAUUAAAGCUUCCUUCGGGAAGUGUAUAGAGUGGCGUACGGGUGAGUAACACGUAAGUAAUCUACCCUUGGGUGGGGAAUAACUUAGGGAAACCUAAGCUAAUACCGCAUAAUGCAGCGGCUCCAUAUGGAGACAGUUGUUAAAGCAUUUAUGUGCCUAAGGAGGAGCUUGCGGCAGAUUAGCUAGUUGGUAAGGUAAUGGCUUACCAAGGCGACGAUCUGUAGCCGGUCUAAGAGGACGGUCGGUCACACUGACACUGAAUAACGGGUCAGACUCCUACGGGAGGCAGCAGUCGGGAAUUUUGGGCAAUGGGCGCAAGCCUGAUCCAGCAAUGCCGCGUGUGUGAAGAAGGCC